UACGUAGGGGGCAAGCGUUGUCCGGAUUUAUUGGGCGUAAAGAGCGUGUAGGCGGCCAGGUAGGUGGGUUGUGAAAACUGGAGGCUCAACCUUCAGACGUCGACCCAAACCCCCUGGCUAGAGUCCGGAAGAGGAGAGUGGAAUUCCGUGGUGUAGCGGUGAAAUGCGCAGAUAUCAGGAAGAACACCCGUGGCGAAGGCGGCUCUCUGGGACGGUACUGACGCUGAGAGCG
rnacentral:rRNA from 1 species